CGGCGGACGGGUGAGUAAUGCCUAGGAAUCUGCCUGGUAUGGGGGACAACGUUUCGAAAGGAACGCUAAUACCGCAUACGUCCUACGGGAGAAAGCAGGGGACCUUCGGGCCUUGCGCUAUCAGAUGAGCCUAGGUCGGAUUAGCUAGUUGGUGAGGUAAUGGCUCACCAAGGCGACGAUCCGUAACUGGUCUGAGAGGAUGAUCAGUCACACUGGAACUGAGACACGGUCCAGACUCCUACGGGAGGCAGCAGCA
rnacentral:rRNA from 1 species